AAAACAGUCACUAUAUAAAUUAUGACAUCACAUUAUAGAUUUUACAAUUAACCUUGGAAUUUUAAUCCAGAUGUCACAGGAGUCAUGAUUCCAUAAUUGCUGAGGUGAUAGUGGCAACUCACUUGCUCUCAAAUCCAAUCACAAGAAAAAGAAAAGUCUUAACUUCUGGAGGUUCCUACGUAUGAGUAUUUUUUCGUGAGCUUGAUUAGGCUUUCACCUAGCAUUUAAGAUUCAGAGUAUAAACUGUCCUAAGCUGUUCCCAAAUCUAAACAGAUAAGGAUUAGAAAAAUCAACUUCUAUACAUUUGAAGUCAGUUCAGAUCCAGCAGGAGAAUACUGACAUCCAACUGUCUAAGUUCUGCUUCUGAAAGAGCCUGAAGACAAAGGGUAGAGCACUCUCUUCCCAGCAUUCUAUUCCUUUUCUUCAUUUUUAAGCCAAGACAGCCAGCUACUGGGUGCUGUGGAUCUAACCCAGUACCAACUAUCUAUUGAUCCCUCCUGAGGUUCUUCAACCUUCCUCCCUCUUCUCCCAGUGGGACAGAUGAAAGGACAAUGCACGUGGACUCAAAGCCUUUCUUUGUCAACUUGCAGUCUUGUCUACCUUUAGUGGGGAUCCAGACACUUACUACUUUGAAUUUGUCUUCGACCUGGCCCUCCUCUCAUGCUAAAGGAAUGAUUGAUCCACUAAAUGAAGGAGCAUAUCAGAAAUGAAUUCAGCUUUGGAGGAGCACUUCUGAGUGAAAGAAUGAGCAAGUGCUUAGGGAAAAAC
rnacentral:lncRNA from 1 species